CGGGACGGGUGAGUAAUGUCUGGGAAACUGCCUGAUGGAGGGGGGUAACUACUGGAAACGGUAGCAAUACCGCAUAACGUCGCAAGACCAAAGAGGGGGACCUUCGGGCCUCUUGCCAUCGGAUGUGCCCAGAUGGGAUUAGCUAGUAGGUGGGGUAACGGCUCACCUAGGCGACGAUCCCUAGCUGGUCUGAGAGGAUGACCAGCCACACUGGAACUGAGACACGGUCCAG
rnacentral:rRNA from 1 species